GAAACGCGAUACGUGAUGCGAAUCGCGGGAACCAGCGAGCCAUCCAAUCUUCGAACGCACCUUGCGCUCCCGGUACCCCCGGGAGCACGCCUGUCCGAGUGUCGUCCCCAAGACCCGUCGCCUUUCUUUCUCUUCUCUCUCUCUUUUCAUCGAGAGAGAGAGAGGGGUGUGAAAGGCUGCCCUGGGCUUGUCGCCGCCUGACUUCCAUUUGUUUGGGUGGCGUCGCCCUAAGAACAGACUCAAAGGGGUUUUUCCUUCUUUGCAGGAUUUCUCCACUCAUGCCCUCUCUCUUUCCCUUCUCUUCUUCGCAAGAAGAGAGAAGAGAAAAAGAGUGCCUGGCAGUUAGCGGGAUCUUCACGAUUUCGCCACACCAAAGGGUCUCUUUUUUUCUUCUUUCCUUGGGAAGAGAAAGAGAGGAGCAAAAAGAGAAAAGGGAAACUUGCAAAAACAAAAAGGAUAAAACCAUUUCCCUUUUUUGUUAAACACUUUUUUUCAAAAAACGACCGACCUCGGAUCAGACGUCAUCACCCGCCGGACUUAAGC
rnacentral:misc_RNA from 1 species